AAUGCCCCUUGAGGCGUUGCAGCUCAACUGUGAGUGUUGCAGCUGCGUCAAAAGGUGGCAGAGAGGAAACGGUGGUAGUCUGCACUGAGACUUUACAACACCCGGAGGACUUGGCGUGAUACUAUCCACCAACAAU